rnacentral:rRNA from 1 species
AUACGGAGGAUCCGAGCGUUAUCCGGAUUUAUUGGGUUUAAAGGGUGCGCAGGCGGCCAUUUAAGUCAGCGGUUAAAUCGUGGGGCUCAACCCCAUUCUGCCGUUGAUACUGGGUGGCUUGAUUGCGGUCGAGGUUGGCGGACUUCGUUGGUGAGCGGUGAAAUGCAUAGAUAUGCCGAAGAACACCGAUUGCGUAGGCAGCUGACCAGACCGCAAAUGACGCUCAUGCACGAAAGUGCGGGGAUCGAACAGGAUUAGAUACCCUGGUAGUCCGCACAGUAAACGAUGAAUACUUGUUUUCGGCGAUAUAAUGUCGGAGGCAAAGCGAAAGCGAUAAGUAUUCCACCUGGGGAGUACGCCGGCAACGGUGAAACUCAAAGGAAUUGACGGGG